rnacentral:piRNA from 1 species
CCCCCUACACAGCUGGAAUGAUCAACUAAA